rnacentral:rRNA from 1 species
UACGGGGGGUGCGAGCGUUGUCCGGAAUCACUGGGCGUAAAGGGCGCGUAGGUGGCGUCGUAAGUCUGUGGUGAAAGCCCGGAGCUCAACUCCGGGUCUGCCGCGGAUACUGCGAGGCUUGAGUGCUGUAGAGGGGGGUAGAAUGCCGGGUGUAGCGGUGGAAUGCGUAGAGAUCCGGCAGAAGACCGGUGGCGAAGGCGGCCCCCUGGGCAGUAACUGACACUGAGGCGCGACAGCGUGGGGAGCGAACGGG